rnacentral:rRNA from 1 species
GAUGAACGCUGGCGGCGUGCCUAAUACAUGCAAGUCGAACGAAACUUCUUUAUCACCGAGUGCUUGCACUCACCGAUAAAGAGUUGAGUGGCGAACGGGUGAGUAACACGUGGGCAACCUGCCCAAAAGAGGGGGAUAACACUUGGAAACAGGUGCUAAUACCGCAUAACCAUAGUUACCGCAUGGUAACUAUGUAAAAGGUGGCUAUACUACCGCUUUUGGAUGGGCCCGCGGCGCAUUAGCUAGUUGGUAGGGUAAAGGCUUACCAAGGCAAUGAUGCGUAGCCGAAUUGAGAGGUUGAUCGGCCACAUUGGGACUGAGACACGGCCCAAACUCCUACGGGAGGCAGCAGUAGGGAAUCUUCCACAAUGGGCGAAAGCCCGAUGGAGCAACGCCGCGUGGGUGAAGAAGGUCUUCGGAUCGUAAAACCCUGUUGUUAGAGAAGAAAGUGCGUGAGAGUAACUGUUCACGUUUCGACGGUAUCUAACCAGAAAGCCACGGCUAACUACGUG